AAUAGAUACCCGGGUAGUCCACGCCGUAAACGAUGAGUGCUAAGUGUUAGAGGGUUUCCGCCCUUUAGUGCUGCAGCUAACGCAUUAAGCACUCCGCCUGGGGAGUACGGUCGCAAGACUGAAACUCAAAGGAAUUGACGGGGGCCCGCACAAGCGGUGGAGCAUGUGGUUUAAUUCGAAGCAACGCGAAGAACCUUACCAGGUCUUGACAUCCUCUGACAACUCUAGAGAUAGAGCGUUCCCCUUCGGGGGACAGAGUGACAGGUGGUGCAUGGUUGUCGUCAGCUCGUGUCGUGAGAUGUUGGGUUAAGUCCCGCAACGAGCGCAACCCUUGAUCUUAGUUGCCAGCAUUCAGUUGGGCACUCUAAGGUGACUGCCGGUGACAAACCGGAGGAAGGUGGGGAUGACGUCAAAUCAUCAUGCCCCUUAUGACCUGGGCUACACACGUGCUACAAUGGAUGGUACAAAGGGCUGCAAGACCGCGAGGUCAAGCCAAUCCCAUAAACCAUUCUCAGUUCGGAUUGGU
rnacentral:rRNA from 1 species